rnacentral:rRNA from 1 species
UAGGGAAUAUUGCGCAAUGGACGGAAGUCUGACGCAGCGACGCCGCGUGAGCGAUGAAGGCCUUCGGGUUGUAAAGCUCUGUCCUUGGGGAAGAAGGUCUUCGGACUUGACGGUACCCAAGAAGAAAGCCCCGGCUAACUACGUGCCAGCAGCCGCGGUAAUACGUAGGGGGCGAGCGUUGUCCGGAAUUACUGGGCGUAAAGGGUGCGUAGGCGGCCCUUUAAGUCAGAUGUGAAAGCCCGCAGCUUAACUGCGGAAUUGCAUUUGAAACUGGAGGGCUUGAGUGUCGGAGAGGGUAGUGGAAUUCCCAGUGUAGCGGUGAAAUGCGUAGAUAUUGGGAGGAACACCAGUGGCGAAGGCGACUGCCUGGACGAUAACUGACGCUGAGGCACGAAAGCUAGGGGAGCAAACAGG